rnacentral:sRNA from 1 species
GCAUAGCCUUCCAAGACUCGUCGCUGC